UCGCUCAGUGGCCGAAUAGGCGUAAGUCUUUUAAACUUAUAAUAGUUAUACUCUUAGCGAA
rnacentral:tRNA from 1 species